GGUAGGCAAAUCCGCCGACCCUGUCGAACCUGACAGUACUACAAGGCUACGGCUGCGUAGAAAGUGUGGGUAAAGACUGCCGAGAAAAUCCUCUAAGCUUCAGGUGUAAAAGACCCGUACCGUAAACCGACACAGGUAGUCGGGGUGAGAAUCCUAAGGUGCUCGAGUGAUCCGUGGCUAAGGAACUAGGCAAAUUAGUCCUGUAACUUCGGGAGAAGGGACGCCCCUUUCGGGGGGCCGCAGAGAAAUGGCCCAGGCGACUGUUUAUCAAAAACACAGG
rnacentral:rRNA from 1 species